rnacentral:rRNA from 1 species
CAGUCGCCACGGUAAUACGUAGGUGGCAAGCGUUGUCCGGAAUUAUUGGGCGUAAAGGGCUCGCAGGCGGUUUCUUAAGUCUGAUGUGAAAGCCCCCGGCUCAACCGGGGAGGGUCAUUGGAAACUGGGAAACUUGAGUGCAGAAGAGGAGAGUGGAAUUCCACGUGGAGCGGUGAAAUGCGUAGAGAUGUGGAGGAACACCAGUGGCGAAGGCGACUCUCUGGUCUGUAACUGACGCUGAGGAGCGAAAGCGUGGGGAGCAAACAGGACUAGAUACCCGCGUAGUCCCUGUCUCUUAUAC